AGAUUAAGUUAUCAAGGGCGCACGGUGGAUGCCUUGGCACUAGAAGCCGAUGAAGGACGUUACUAACGACGAUAUGCUUUGGGGAGCUGUAAGUAAGCUUUGAUCCAGAGAUUUCCGAAUGGGGAAACCCAGCAUGAGUU
rnacentral:rRNA from 1 species